rnacentral:rRNA from 1 species
CCUACGGGCGGCAGCAGUGAGGAAUAUUGGUCAAUGGGCUUACGCCUGAACCAGCCAAGUCGCGUGAGGGAAGACUGCCCUAUGGGUUGUAAACCUCUUUUGUCAGGGAGCAACGCCGGCUACGUGUAGCCGGACUGAGAGUACCUGAAGAAAAAGCAUCGGCUAACUCCGUGCCAGCAGCCGCGGUAAUACGGAGGAUGCGAGCGUUAUCCGGGUUUAUUGGGUUUAAAGGGUGCGUAGGCGGAAUGCCAAGUCAGCGGGAAAAUCGCGGGGCUCAACCUCGCGCCGCCGUUGAAACUGGCGUUCUUGAGUGGGCGAGAAGUAUGCGGAAUGCGUGGUGUAGCGGUGAAAUGCAUAGAUAUCACGCAGAACUCCGAUUGCGAAGGCAGCAUACCGGCGCCCAACUGACGCUGAAGCACGAAAGCGUGGGUAUCGAACAGGAUUAGAUACCCGGGUAGUC